rnacentral:rRNA from 1 species
GAUGAACGCUGGCGGCGUGCCUAAUACAUGCAAGUCGAGCGAACAGACGAGGAGCUUGCUCCUCUGACGUUAGCGGCAGACGGGUGAGUAACACGUGGAUAACCUACCUAUCAGACUGGGAUAACUUCGGAAAACCGGAGCUUAUCCCGGAGAAUAUAUUGCACCGCAUGGUUCAAUAGUGAAAGACGGUUUUGCUGUCACGUAUAGAUGGAUCCGCGCCGCAUUAGCUAGUUGGUAAGGUAACGGCUUACCAAGGCAACGAUGCGUAGCCGACCUGAGAGAGUGGUCGCCGACAUUGGAACUGAGACGCGGUCCAGACUACUACGGGAGGCAGCAGUAGGGAAUCUUACGCAGUGGUCGAGAGCCUUACAGAGCGACCGCACGUGAGUGAUGAAGGUCUUCGGAUCGUGAAACUCUGUUAUUAGGGGAGAACAAAUGUGUAAGUAACUAUGCACGUCUUGACGGUACCUAAUCAGAAAGCCCCGGCUAACUACGUG